AAAGACCCUCUAUUUAUUUUCAACGCCCUUAGUCAUAACAUUUAGUUGAGUUAUUUCUCCUACGUUGCUUCAAGUUUCAGAAGUAAUGAAUUCAACACGGUUAAACUAUGAUCAAUGAUGUAUUUGUGCAUCUAUCAUCUUCUACCUUAUUGAUGAAGUAUAUAAGCAAACUUUGCUAAAUGCUCAAAACUUUUCAUUAAUCCAACCAGUGCAUGGUCUAGUGUCUCCCUUGCUAAGGUUCUACUUGAGAAGAAAAGAGGACAAAUAAAAUUUCAUGCCUUUUCUUGUAAAACUUUUUAAUGUUUACUUCUGGGC
rnacentral:misc_RNA from 1 species